AUUUGAAAUCUGACCCCUUUGGGGCCCGAGUUGUAAUUUGUAGAGGAUGUUUCGGGUGCGGCGCCGGUCUAAGUUCCUUGGAACAGGACGUCAUAGAGGGUGAGAAUCCCGUAUGCGACCGGUGACCAACCCCAUGUGAAACCCCUUCGACGAGUCGAGUUGUUUGGGAAUGCAGCUCAAAAUGGGUGGUAAAUUUCAUCUAAAGCUAAAUACCGGCCAGAGACCGAUAGCGCACAAGUAGAGUGAUCGAAAGAUGAAAAGCACUUUGGAAAGAGAGUCAAACAGUACGUGAAAUUGUUGAAAGGGAAGCGCUUGCAACCAGACCUGCCCCUGGGCGAUCAGCCGUUAUUCUUAGCGGUGCACUCGUCCUUGUUCAGGCCAGCAUCGGUUCGGGCGGUCGGAUAAAGACCCCGGGAAUGUAGCUCCCCCCGGGGAGUCUUAUAGCCCGGGGUGCAAUGCGGCCAGCCCGGACCGAGGACCGCGCUUCGGCUAGGAUGCUGGCAUAAUGGUUGUAAGCGACCCGUCUUGAAACACGGACCAAGGAGUCUAACAUCUAUGCGAGUGUUUGGGUGUUAAACCCAUGCGCGGAAUGAAAGUGAACGGAGGUGGGAACCCGCAAGGGCGCACCAUCGACCGAUCCAGAUGUCUUCGGAUGGAUUUGAGUACGAGCAUAGCUGUUGGGACCCGAAAGAUGGUGAACUAUGCCUGAAUAGGGUGAAGCCAGAGGAAACUCUGGUGGAGGCUCGCAGCGGUUCUGACGUGCAAAUCGAUCGUCAAAUUUGGGUAUAGGGGCGAAAGAC
rnacentral:rRNA from 1 species